rnacentral:rRNA from 1 species
GACGAACGCUGGCGGCGUGCCUAAUACAUGCAAGUUGAGCGAUGAAGAUUGGUGCUUGCACCAAUUUGAAGAGCAGCGAACGGGUGAGUAACGCGUGGGGAAUCUGCCUUUGAGCGGGGGACAACAUUUGGAAACGAAUGCUAAUACCGCAUAACAACUUUAAACAUAAGUUUUAAGUUUGAAAGAUGCAAUUGCAUCACUCAAAGAUGAUCCCGCGUUGUAUUAGCUAGUUGGUGAGGUAAAGGCUCACCAAGGCGAUGAUACAUAGCCGACCUGAGAGGGGGAUCGGCCACAUUGGGACUGAGACACGGCCCAAACUCCUACGGGAGGCAGCAGUAGGGAAUCUUCGGCAAUGGACGAAAGUCUGACCGAGCAACGCCGCGUGAGUGAAGAAGGUUGUCGGAUCGUAAAACUCUGUUGGUAGAGAAGAACGUUGGUGAGAGUGGAAAGCUCAUCAAGUGACGGUAACUACCCAGAAAGGGACGGCUAACUACGUG